rnacentral:rRNA from 1 species
CCUACGGGCGGCAGCAGUGGGGAAUAUUGGACAAUGGGCGAAAGCCUGAUCCAGCCAUGCCGCGUGUGUGAAGAAGGCCUUCGGGUUGUAAAGCACUUUCAGUGGGGAAGAAAGCCUUGGGGCUAAUACCCUCGAGGAAGGACAUCACCCACAGAAGAAGCACCGGCUAACUCCGUGCCAGCAGCCGCGGUAAUACGGAGGGUGCGAGCGUUAAUCGGAAUUACUGGGCGUAAAGCGCGCGUAGGCGGUCUGAUAAGCCGGUUGUGAAAGCCCCGGGCUCAACCUGGGAACGGCAUCCGGAACUGUCAGGCUAGAGUGCAGGAGAGGAAGGUAGAAUUCCCGGUGUAGCGGUGAAAUGCGUAGAGAUCGGGAGGAAUACCAGUGGCGAAGGCGGACUUCUGGACUGACACUGACGCUGAGGUGCGAAAGCGUGGGUAGCAAACAGGAUUACAUACCCUGGUAGUC